rnacentral:lncRNA from 1 species
UGUUAGUGAAAAUGCAAAAACAAAAAUUAACUUAUGGGGGAAAUGUAUUUUUUUGGUUUACGUAUGUAUAAAGAAUUUUAUUUAUUUUUUGAAUUUUAUGGGUUUAUCCUAAACGGAAAGUUGAUGGCAGGAGGUACAUGACGGAGUAAUAAUUAAUUUCAAAAGUAAAGCAAACAAUAAAUUAAAGAUUUUUAAAUAUUCAUGAUAGAAAAAAUGUAAAAUCAGCUUUGUCUUUAAAAAUCAAAGUAACCAAUGACAUUUUUUUUAUUUAUGAACAAUGUAAUCGACAAAUUUCUCAACUCUUAUGAAGUAGUAACAAUUCUUGCAUAGAUGAUUUAUGUUUUGGAGG